AAAAUUUAAAAAAUGGCUGCCUUGUUGUUGGCGAUUGUUGAGCGCUUGUUUGGAUAAUAAUUAUACUAAUUUUCCUUUGUUAUGUGUUCCAUUAACUACGUACUUUCCUGUUAUUUAGUGCUGCAUAUAUAAACAAGUUAAUAGAGACAAGCGAUUCAGCCCACAACAAGCAGCCAAGAUGUGGCCGGCGUCGCAGUACACGCACACCAACUCCCAGAACCUGGUGAAGACCAACGAGCACCAGAAUCAGCAGAACCUGAAGACGCUGGGCAUGACCUCCGCUAUAUCUACUGCUGGACCAAAGCCCAUAGACAUUGAGAAGACGAAUGAGCUCAAAGAAUCUCUCGUACCCUUUGGUGUCUUCGAGUCUGAAGCUGAGAUGCAUCAUCGGAUGGAGGUGCUCGGAGCCCUGCAUCGGUUGGUGAGGCAGUGGAUACGCGAGGAGAGCCUCCGCAAGAACAUGCCUCCCAGCAUAGCGGAUACGGUCGGAGGGAAUAUAUACACGUUUGGAUCUUAUAGACUUGGGGUGCACCACCGCGGUGCCGACAUCGACGCCCUGUGCGUGGCGCCGCGCCACAUCGACCGCGCCGACUACUUCCAGACCUUCUACGAGCUGCUCAAAACGCAGGCGCAGGUGAAAGAUCUCCGCGCGGUGGAAGACGCAUUCGUGCCGGUGAUCAAGAUGAAUUUCGACGGCAUAGAGAUAGAUCUGCUGUUCGCCAGACUCGCGCUCAAGGAGAUACCGGACUCGUUCGACCUCCGCGACGACAUGCUGCUAAAGAACCUCGAUCAGAAGUGCGUCCGGUCGCUGAACGGGUGUCGCGUCACCGACGAGAUACUGCGCCUGGUGCCCGACAUCAACAACUUCCGCCUCACGCUGCGUGCUAUCAAGCUGUGGGCCAAGCGUCACGGCAUCUACUCCAACACUCUCGGCUACCUCGGCGGCGUGUCGUGGGCGAUGCUGGUCGCCCGCACCUGCCAGCUGUACCCCAACGCGCUGCCGGCGACCCUCGUGCACAAGUUCUUCCUGGUGUUCAGCCAGUGGAAGUGGCCGCAGCCGGUGCUGCUCAAGCAGCCGGACAGCGUCAACCUGGGGUUCCCGGUGUGGGAUCCGCGGGUGAACAUGUCAGACCGGUUCCACCUGAUGCCGAUCAUCACGCCCGCCUACCCGCAGCAGAACUCCACCUUCAACGUGUCCGCCAGCACGCGCACCGUCAUCGUCGAGGAGUUCCGCCUGGGUCUCGCGAUAACGGACGAGAUAAUGCUGGGCAAGUGUGGCUGGGAGCGUCUGUUCGAGGCGCCGAACUUCUUCGCCCGGUACCGACAUUUCAUCGUGCUGCUGGCGUCGAGCGCCAAACCGCACGACCAGCUGACGUGGUGUGGACUCAUCGAGAGCAAGAUCAGACAUCUCAUCACUACCCUCGAGCGGAACCAGCACAUAACGAUAGCCCACGUGAACCCCGAGUGUUACAACUCCGUGCCGCUGCAUACUAACGACGGACAUCCGUUGGCGCUGCCACCAGGCACGCCUGUCUCAGAGGAACAACCGACUGAACUCAAAAAGAAUGAAGAGGGCGAGGUGAUACCCAACGUGUGCUCCAUGUGGUUCAUCGGUCUCGUCUUCGACAAGACCAACGUCAACGUGGACCUCACGUACGACAUCUGCUCCUUCACCAAGGCGGUCCACUACCAGGCCGAGAGCAGCAGCGUGCUGCGGGAGGGCAUGACGAUUGAGGCCCGUCACGUCCGCCGCAAGCAACUCCAUCAAUACCUGUCGCCGUCGCUGCUCAAACGCGAGCGGACGGUCAGCGGCGCGAAACGCAAGCACGACCCGCCGCCGCCCGCCACCAAGAAGACGAAGAGGCUGAGUGAGAGCAGCACGGACGAGGUCAGCAUCCUAUCGUACAACGAUGACUCGAACUCGUCCAAUGUGUGCGAGGUCAACCUGCACAACGGUGCACCGGAGAAGGACAAGAACCCCGAACACACGGCGUCGACGUCCAGCAUAGCCUGCACGUAGCAGUACGAGGCGUGGCGGCAGAGGUUCAUAUACGGAACCAAGAGAGUGUGACACUGACAAUGUGAUAAAGUGAUAGUGUAGUGUACUGUGUAAGUGACAAGUGCGAUGGACUGUUUGGCACCUGUUGAUCGAUUUCGACGGAAGGUAACCAUUUGAUUCAUUUAUGUAGCAGUUACAACAAAUUAAAGUUUUAUUUCUUAACAGUUUUUAUAAUGCAGUGCGGCUGACAGAAGAUAUGAACUAUAUGUUUUAAUUCACAGAUCUUUGUCGUAUGACCGCAUUGUAUAGAGUUGAGAGCGAGUUUUUGUCAUUACUUAUUGUAAAGAAGUCAACUACAUGGCUUUAGAGAUGAGUGCAAGCUUAUGGCACUUUUCACCGAGAGGUGAGAAUUUAUAUGGCAUGAAAUUAGUUUUGACCAAUUUUUGCCACUAGCCGCUUUGUUUUUGAUGCCACGCCACGUAAAUUCUACAAAUUCUUGUUAACGUCACGGUGAAAAAUGGCAAAAACUUACACUCAAUAUUAUAAUGACAUCCAUACAAAUUGUAGUCAUGUUCAUAAUGAGUUGUGACCAAAGUUUGUUUUCAACAUAAAAGUCUAAUUCAAUAUAAAUGUAAACAAAGAGAUUUGACCGAAUUACAAUAAAUUUUUAUUGCUUUGUUGCGAUGCAUGUGACUUAAUAAUAAUAAUAUCUAUGGAUGCUUCACACCACGUCAGUCUG